UCUGUUUGGAAUCAAACCAGGCUCAUAAACCCUCCGCAGGCGAACGCCCAGCACUCUCUCGGAACUCGAUCCGAAAGCAAAAUGUGGCGAACCAUUUCGACCCCCACCUCAGAGCACUGGGUCUCUUCCCUUCAUCCACGCAAUCUUCCUUCUCACUCAAAGCCCUGUCGAAAAUCCUCACAGUUACCCCCGAGUCUCACACUCUAUACGUCCCCAAAGCCCUCAUCUUCCGCACAAUCGACGCACCCUCCGUCUCCUCGAUCCCCGGCCUGGGAAUCCGCGGUCUCGGUUCGAUCGUCGUGCGAUGCAUUUCCUCUGACUCUCCGGCGCCCACAUUGGAUUGGAACGACCCGGUGUCGUGCUCGGAGGUCGGCAACGGAGACAAUGGCAGCAUGGAGGUGGAUACUUACCAUCUAUUCUUGUCAGAGACUAUUUCUUCUUCUCUACUAGUGUGUGAGAAGUUAAUGGAACAUCAAUUUUAUUCUGCCAACAUUGCGAAAGACUGAUUAGUGUGUUCUUAAGUUCAACAUCGGGGCUUGGCUUUGUGGUAUGAGACUAAUCAACUGGAAGAGCUUGCCAGGAUGGCUUGGUAAGCAAGCAAGCAGGCGCCAACUCCCAGUUCUUUCUCUUCUCUUUUUUUUGGGCCCCCUGUGAACAUAGGAAUUGGAUGGAUGACUCACUCUCUCUUGAAUCUUUGUGAGACCAUUGGUUUGAGUGCUUCCUUAGGUGAAGUAACUGCUGUACAUGGUAGUUUUUCAGUAUGGGUCCAUUGUCUUGUUUAAUGCCCACGAAGAUGACGUUGAUGACUAUUUGAAAGUUGUAGAAAAAUAAGCAUUGCGAUUACUGCCCAAAACGAGAAAGGACGGUCUUCCCUCAUCACUUAAUUAUCAGUUUUGGUGGAGAUUUAAUUUCAGCAGAUGCAUUAGACAUUUUGAUGAACUCUAGAUCAAAAGAUUGGAUCAGAUUCAUCUUGUUUGGAGGACUCAGCAUAAUCCAUACACAAGAGGAGAGAGUGUUUGGGCAAAUUAGGGAUAACAGUGUCAAAUGCAUUAUGUUUGGAUGAUGUUGGAUUCUGUAAGCCAUUGCAAAUGAGUGAUCUCCUUGAAAACAUCACAAGUAUCCUUGUUUUUUUAUAAUUGCAGGAUCCUCACACUCACUAAGGCUUUAUUCCUCUCUCUUUAUUUAUUCCAUUCUCUCUCACUAGACUAUUGCUUAAAAAGCAAAACGAGUUUGUGCACUUGUCUGAUUGUCCCGCAAUUUGGGUGAUAGAGUUUUGGAAUGUUUUUGGUGGGGGCUUCCCUUUCACUCUGAUUCCCCACUUAAGCUUUUAUAAUUUGUAAUACAAAGUAGUUGUGAAGCAUGCUGUGUGUUAAGAAAGUACAUCUCGAAGAUUUCUGGUGUAAUAAAACAGAUCUAAAGAGAGUUUAUUCUUUCAGUACUAAUAGUUAGAUUUUCUGUUUUAAACCUCCAAGUCAAGGAGGAGCAAGAUCAAGAAGCAGGUGUAGCACUGUAACACAGCCUGGAGGCAUCUCAAGCUGCCGUCUCAGCUUCUUGAAUCGUGCAGCACUGAAAACUGAAAGCGACAGACAAUCAGACGACUCGUAUGCAAGAUCAUGGAGGCUAUGUACCAUGGAAGAAGUGGCUGACCUCAAAAUUAUGCCACUUUGGUCUACUAAAAUUUUAUUAGGUACCGCAAUAGGUAUCUUUGGUAGCCUCAAUACUCCAAGCCUUAACCAUGAAUCGACACCUUGGGUCCCAUUUCAAAAUCCCAGUUGCAUCAUUCCUUUUCUUCAACCAGCUAUUAGGAACGGCCAUCUCAAUCUUCAUCAUUGACCAUUUCCUCCUCCCCACGUGGCAAAAUCUCACUCAUCAAUCUUUGAUACCCGUCCAACGUAUCGGAGUUGGCUAUGAGGGGGAUAAAAUAUACAGCUCAUGGCUAAAUUCAGCCCACCAAGUCAAACUAGAGGACAAAAUAGAGAGGAGGGGAGUGAGAGACGAGAGGACCACGAGUCAAGAGUGUAAGAGAAUGGUGUAAAAAAAAAGUGAAAAAAUAGAGGCUUGUUCAGACACGCAAAGGGACCAAUUACCUCUUGGCAGACAGGCACGCGCAAUGGAGGCUAGGUCAAAUAGAAGCAAAGGGUCAGAGGACUAAUGAACUCUCUUCUUCUUCUUCAACCUCUAGAGGAAGACAUCUUCUCCAGCAGGAAGAGUUCUAGUUUUCUUUAUAUAGUAAAAAAUG